ACAACAACAAAAAAUACUCUCUGAAUCUUAACAUUUUAAAAGUUUAAAAUUUUAAUUUACAUAAAUCUGUCAGUGAAUGAGCGUAUGGUACAGAGUAUGGCAGUAUAUUUUACAUAUCUGCAUCAUUAUGAAGUGGAUGUCUGUGGCAACAAAUAAUGAAACAAAUUAAGUUACUGCUAUUUUAAUCUCUAUGAACAUCCAUCUGGAUAUGAAUGCAAAGAUUGAUGCUAAUGUAAACGUUUUCCUGCUGCAGCUUGAACAUCCUUUAAUAGGCCAAACAUAAGUUGUCUUUUAUUUUCAAGUGCUCACAGCAUAUGCGGUGUGUUUUUACAAUGAGUAUGCAGUUUCUCCUAUCAUUAAUCAAAAAUGAAAGUAGUCAUUUUUAUCACUUUUUAACAGCAGGUCAAGUUGAAAUGUUGCCACCAACAAAACAGAACUAACUGUUAGAUGAAGAGCUGCACACUUCCAGCUUCUCAGCCAAAUAAAACAACAGUAGUUUGUUGUUUGUUAGUAUUUAACCACAUGUGCUGGUACAGACGUUGCAAAAUUAACAGGGACCAAAAUUCGGGGAAUUGACAUUUUAAUGCUAAGGACUAAUAGGUGGUUUAGGCUUCUGUGUCAAUUUGACGGCGUAUCUACAGUGACAGCCCAGACUCUAACGUGUAGCUGACGUGCACCUGAGAAAUUUAACAAACCACAAGAGCUGUGACUGGUCCGUUUGGUAGCAGCGUGUUUCCGCUUUAGUAUUUACUUCGCAGUUGUUUUGGAUCAAUAAAGAUGGAAAUCACUGAGGAGGUUUGGAGAUACAAACAUUUGUAUGACAUAUGUCACACACAAAAAUAUGGCCAAGGAUUCAGUCGGCAAUGUUCAAAGUGAAGCAGGAAGUGGAAAAAGCAGCAGGAAGUAGGAACAAAACAUCAGCAUCUGUGUGAUGUUUUUACAAAGUGAGUCAGAACGAUGAGCGCACAAAUAUAAACAGCUCACACCGGGACAGGUUCUAUGUCUAUAUACUGAACCUGGCUUCUUGGUUUUGCACUAUUGGUGGCAGUUGUUGAUGGUCUCCAACCAGGACGAAUCUGUUGGCAUAGAACAGCGGCCCCAGACAGAUGGGCUGGCUGAUCUGUGACGCUUCAUCUAUGAUGCAGAAAUCAAACCGACGACGGGUGAAAAUGGGAUGCUUGAUCCCCAUACAGGUGGUUGCCACGACCAGCUAGAACGAGACAGAAGACUCCUCACCUCUUUGUUAUAAAGCUGCUCCAGCUCUGACAGAGUGUGAACUCCUGUCUUCCUCACACUUUCUUCUGUAUAGGACAGGAUGUCUGGAUGAACCUGGAGAGGGUGGCAGAAAAACAAGACAUCUACAUCUUUAAAUGUACGGAGAAAACCAACACGGAAACGUUUGAGCUUCAGCAGGAUGUUGUCGACAGCAGAGUGGGUGUAGCUGGUCAGCAACACACUGAACCCACAUGCAUGUAGGAUACGAACCUAACGUGACAGACGAGGAAGAAACAAA